rnacentral:rRNA from 1 species
CUACGGGUUGCUCCAGUGAGGAAUAUUGGACAAUGGUCGAAAGACUGAUCCAGCCAUGCCGCGUGCAGGAUGACUGCCCUAUGGGUUGUAAACUGCUUUUAUACGGGAAGAAAAACACCUACGUGUAGGUGACUGACGGUACCGUAAGAAUAAGGACCGGCUAACUCCGUGCCAGCAGCCGCGGUAAUACGGAGGGUCCAAGCGUUAUCCGGAAUCAUUGGGUUUAAAGGGUCCGUAGGCGGGCUAUUAAGUCAGAGGUGAAAGUUUGCAGCUCAACUGUAAAAUUGCCUUUGAUACUGAUAGUCUUGAAUUGUAGUGAAGUGGUUAGAAUAUGUGGUGUAGCGGUGAAAUGCAUAGAUAUCACAUAGAAUACCGAUUGCGAAGGCAGAUCACUAACUAUAUAUUGACGCUGAGGGACGAAAGCGUGGGGAGCGAACGGGAUUAGAUACCCCGGUAGUC